rnacentral:rRNA from 1 species
GAUGGACGCUAGCUACAGGCUUAACACAUGCAAGUCGAGGGGUAACGAGAGGAAAGCUUGCUUUCCUUGUCGACGACCGGCGCACGGGUGAGUAACGCGUAUCCAACCUGCCCCCAACUAGGGAAUAACCUUGCGAAAGUAAGACUAAUACCCUAUAAUUUCCUCAGAUGUCAUCUGACGAGGAAUAAAGAUUUAUCGGUUGUGGAUGGGGAUGCGUCUGAUUAGCUUGUUGGCGGGGUAACGGCCCACCAAGGCAACGAUCAGUAGGGGUUCUGAGAGGAAGGUCACCCACAUUGGAACUGAGACACGGUCCAAACUCCUACGGGAGGCAGCAGUGAGGAAUAUUGGUCAAUGAGCGGAAGCCUGAACCAGCCAAGUAGCGUGCAGGAUGACGGCCCUAUGGGUUGUAAACUGCUUUUAUACAGGAAUAAAGUUAGCCACGUGUGGUUAUUUGUAGGUACUGUAUGAAUAAGGACCGGCUAAUUCCGUGCCAGCCGCCGCAGUAA